rnacentral:rRNA from 1 species
UACGGAAGGUCCGGGCGUUAUCCGGAUUUAUUGGGUUUAAAGGGAGCGUAGGCCGGCUUUUAAGUCAGCUGUGAAAGUCCGCGGCUCAACCGUGGAAUUGCAGUUGAAACUGGAGGCCUUGAGUGCACACAGGGAUGCCGGAAUUCAUGGUGUAGCGGUGAAAUGCGUAGAUAUUAGGAGGAACACCAGUGGCGAAGGCGGCCUGCUGGGCUUUUACUGACGCUGAGGCUCGAAAGCAUGGGUAGCGAACAGG